rnacentral:sRNA from 1 species
UCCUAAGUUAGAAAUCAAAUGAAUGAAAUGAAUAAAAGGAGAAAUACUUACCAGUGGGUUGCCUCCCACUAAGCGCUUGUUUAUAGUCAAUAGCUUGAC